rnacentral:rRNA from 1 species
GAUGAACGCUGGCGGCGUGCCUAAUACAUGCAAGUCGAACGCUGGAAAUCUAGCUUGCUAGAUUGAAGGAGUGGCGAACGGGUGAGUAAUACAUAAGCAACCUACCCACGAAGACUGGGAUAAUCUCUGGAAACGGGGACUAAUACCGGAUAGGUAAUCGGAAGGCAUCUUCUGAUUAUUAAAGGUUAAAAACACUGGUGGAUGGGCUUAUGGCGCAUUAGUUAGUUGGUGAGGUAACGGCCCACCAAGACGAUGAUGCGUAGCCGGCCUGAGAGGGUGAACGGCCACAUUGGGACUGAGACACGGCCCAGACUCCUACGGGAGGCAGCAGUAGGGAAUUUUCGGCAAUGGGGGAAACCCUGACCGAGCAACGCCGCGUGAGUGAGGACGGCCUUCGGGUUGUAAAGCUCUGUUGUAAGGGAAGAACGGUAGAUAGAGAAUAUCUAAAUGACGGUACCUUACCAGAAAGCCACGGCUAACUACGUG